UCGUCACUGGAAAGGGAACCGAAGAGGAGUCAACACGACUUAGUGGCCGUGUUACAUGGGGGAGAUACCUUGUUCGCCGCUUUCCGUCACUGCACCGCCCCUCUCAACUUCCGUUGCUGCCAUCGAAGGUGAGGAGGAGGAGGAGAAGAUUCGGGAUUCAAAUCCCUUGGCCAUCGAAGGUGCGGAAGAGGAGAGGAUUUGGGGGUUUGUCCCUCUUCUUCUAAGAUUAGGGAUUCUAAUCCCUUGGCCACGUAAAAAAUGAGAAAGAGAGUGUGAGAUUUAGGGAUUUUCUUUCCCUUUACCCUUGUCCAUUACCGUAGGAUGAAG
rnacentral:lncRNA from 1 species